rnacentral:rRNA from 1 species
GUACACGCUGUGACUAGCAUAUCAAUAAGCGGAGGAAAAGAAACUAACAAGGAUUCCCUCAGUAACGGCGAGUGAAGCGGGAAGAGCUCAAAUUUGAAAUCUUGAAAGGUCUACCUUGCACGAAUUGUAGUUUAAAGAAGUGUUUUCUGUUGACGAUCUGGUAUAUAAGUUCUUUGGAAUAGGACAUCAUCAGAGGGUGAGAAUCCCGUCUAUGACAUUGCGAUUUGUAGCUUUGUGAUACACUUUCAAAGAGUCGGAUUGUUUGGGAAUGCAGCCCAAAGCGGGAGGUAAAUUUCUUCUAAGGCUAAAUAUUGGCGAGAGACCGAUAGCGAACAAGUACCGUGAGGGAAAGAUGAAAAGAACUUUGAAAAGAGAGUUAAAUAGUACGUGAAAUUGUCAAAAGGGAAGCGUUUGACACCAGUGUUGUUUUUCUGAAAAUCAACCUCUGUUAGCUUUAUGCAUGUUUGUUUAGACCUAAUCAGCUAUCUUGCAUGUUCUAUUGUUUGCAGUGGUGCACUUUUCAGUUUACAGGUCAACAUCAGUUUUUUUUACCGUAAAAAAGUUAAAGAAAGGUAGCUCAUGGCUCCGGUCGUGAGUGUUAUAGUCUUUUUCCUAUGCGGUAGGAGAGACUGAGGUCUGCAGUGUAGGCUAUUUGGCUAGAUACUCAGGUGCUAUGUGAUACCAUUUCAUAAACAACUUGUUGAUUAUGUUUUGUCUAUUGCAUACUCGCUUGUACUAUCAUACCUACGCUUAGGAUGUUGAACUACUGAGACAUAG